rnacentral:rRNA from 1 species
GACGAACGCUGGCGGCGUGCUUAACACAUGCAAGUCGAACGGAAAGGCCCUGCUUUUGUGGGGUGCUCGAGUGGCGAACGGGUGAGUAACACGUGAGUAACCUGCCCUUGACUUUGGGAUAACUUCAGGAAACUGGGGCUAAUACCGGAUAGGAGCUCCUGCUGCAUGGUGGGGGUUGGAAAGUUUCGGCGGUUGGGGAUGGACUCGCGGCUUAUCAGCUUGUUGGUGGGGUAGUGGCUUACCAAGGCUUUGACGGGUAGCCGGCCUGAGAGGGUGACCGGCCACAUUGGGACUGAGAUACGGCCCAGACUCCUACGGGAGGCAGCGGUGGGGAGUAUUACACAGUGGGCGGAAGGCUGAUGCAGCAACGCCGCGUGCGGGAUGACGGCCUUCGGGUUGUAAACCGCUUUCGCCUGUGACGAAGCGAGAGUGACGGUAAUGGGUAAAGAAGCACCGGCUAACUACGUG